GACGAACCGAGCGAACGUUGUUCGGAAUCACUGGGCUUAAAGGGCGCGUAGGCGGGUUCUCAAGUCCGGGGUGAAAUCCCACAGCUCAACUGUGGAACUGCCUCGGAUACUGGGGCCUCGAGGGUGGUAGGGUAUGCGGAACUAUCGGUGGAGCGGUGAAAUGCGUUGAUAUCGAUAGGAACUCCGGUGGCGAAGGCGGCAUACUGGACCACAUCUGACGCUGAGGCGCGAAAGCCAGGGAGCAAACGGG
rnacentral:rRNA from 1 species